GAGUAACACGUGAGUAACCUGCCCUUGACUCUGGGAUAAGCGUUGGAAACGACGUCUAAUACCGGAUACGAGCUUCAGCCGCAUGGCUAGGAGCUGGAAAGAAUUUCGGUCAAGGAUGGACUCGCGGCCUAUCAGCUAGUUGGUGAGGUAAUGGCUCACCAAGGCGACGACGGGUAGCCGGCCUGAGAGGGUGACCGGCCACACUGGAACUGAGACACGGUCCAGACUCCUACGGGAGGCAGCAGUGGGGAAUAUUGCACAAUGGGCGAAAGCCUGAUGCAGCAACGCCGCGUGAGGGACGACGGCCUUCGGGUUGUAAACCUCUUUUAGCAGGGAAGAAGCGAAAGUGACGGUACCUGCAGAAAAAGCACCGGCUAACUACGUGCCAGCAGCCGCGGUAAUACGUAGGGUGCAAGCGUUGUCCGGAAUUAUUGGGCGUAAAGAGCUCGUAGGCGGUUUGUCGCGUCUGCUGUGAAAUCCCGAGGCUCAACCUCGGGUCUGCAGUGGGUACGGGCAGACUAGAGUGCGGUAGGGGAGAUUGGAAUUCCUGGUGUAGCGGUGGAAUGCGCAGAUAUCAGGAGGAACACCGAUGGCGAAGGCAGAUCUCUGGGCCGUAACUGACGCUGAGGAGCGAAAGGGUGGGGAGCAAACAGGCUUAGAUACCCUGGUAGUCCACCCCGUAAACGUUGGGCGCUAGAUGUGGGGACCAUUCCACGGUUUCCGUGUCGUA
rnacentral:rRNA from 1 species